UGCCGCCUCCGCGCCUUUAAAGCGCUGCGCGUGCCCGCCGCCGCGCGCCCCCACACGUGACAGCGCGCCCCCGCCUCGUGCGAGCGCUCGCAAGGCCGAGCGGCUCCGCGGCCUCCGGGGAGGAAUCGCAUCCCUGUGCAGCUAGUCGAUGGCCUCUGACCCCGCGCUGCUUGCUCCUGCUAUCAGCUGCAUGCUGUACUCACCCCCUGAACAGUCUCUCCUGACCCAGUCCUCCAGGACUCACUCUGAUGCCAACAUCUGCGUCACAGGCUUCCGAAGUUUCUCCAGCCAGACAAGGUCCCUUGAGACACAUUUGCCACUGCCAGAGGUGGUGAAGUGACUCCAGCUGCCUGGACAGGGAAGGCCAGACAAGGCCAGGCAUGUGUCCUGUGGCAAGUGGAAGCUCACACCUUUGUCUUGGUUACACCCUCACAUCCUUACAGAAGAGAUCUGAGGAUGUUCUCAUGCCAGGGUGCUCUGCAUUCCAGCAAGUUAUUGGGACCCAUGUCCCAAGACAGAGGGCAGCUCUGCCACCUCAUGGUUAUAUGUGGUACUGCAUCAAUCCAAGCCUUGAAGUUGAGCAGAGGGCUGAUUGGGAGCCCAAAGCUGCCUGAACCCCAUCACCACCCAAGCCCACCAGGAGUCAAAAAAAACUGUGACUGAAGAGCCAGGUCAAGCCAACAGGAGCUUGCAGAGAGGGCAGAGACCAGAAAGCAGAGGGCAGAGAGUAUUGGAUUUGCUUGCACCCACCAAAGGGAACCCUGGUCACCUUCCCACGAGGAGAGGAAGAGACUCUUUUUACACCCACUGGAAGAAGUGAUGGGGAAAAUACAAUAUAAGAACACACUCAUCAACAGAAAAACAAAUAUGACACCACCAGAGUCUAGAGAGUCUACAACAGUAAGACAUUUCUAAAGGAAAUGGACGACUUCCUGCCAAAACUAAAUCAAGAACAGAUAAGCAAUUUAAACAGACCUAUAACACCUAAGGAAGUAGAAGCAGUCAUCAAAAGUCUCCAACCAAA